CACGGGGGGAGCAAGCGUUGUUCGGAAUCACUGGGCGUAAAGGGCUCGUAGGCGGCCAACUAAGUCAGACGUGAAAUCCCUCGGCUUAACCGGGGAACUGCGUCUGAUACUGGAUGGCUUGAGUUUGGGAGAGGGAUGCGGAAUUCCAGGUGUAGCGGUGAAAUGCGUAGAUAUCUGGAGGAACACCGGUGGCGAAGGCGGCAUCCUGGACCAACACUGACGCUGAGUGAGCGAAAGCCAGGGGAGCAAACGGG
rnacentral:rRNA from 1 species